CGUAUAGUCGUUACACCCAUAGAAAAUAAGAUCAGUUGUUUGCAACGCUAUUUAAGAGCUAAUAGAUGCUAAAGGUUAAAGAUCAUCUUGAAAAUUCCCUCCUCAGGCUUGUGUGCAGCCAUUAAGACAUGGCCGACGGUGGAAUUGAUCUUGGGUCUACUAGCUGUGAGGACUGCGCGCUAACCACUCGGACAUUCCAAAUGGUUGUUUCACGAUCCGGACUGCACCCCCUCGUGACAGGUUCAGGUGUGUGCUCCUCCCGUUGUUGGUUGGUUCCUUGACUGUGGAGUUACGAGUCUUACGAGUUGACUUGCAGUAUCGCACCAGUCCAAAAAACCUGAGAACUUCUAUUCUGUGGUAUUCCUGUGGGGUGCUGGAACCUAUCCCGGCUGUCUUCGGGGCGAGAGGUAUUACAGACUUACUGUAUGCUGAGAACACAAGAUGAUCACCUGUUCAUGUUGUUUUCACCUCUAAAUUCUGUCUCCUAUAGGGGUGUUAUUUCAUAUCUACAGUGCUCUAAUCAUGUUUAUUUAUUUUUUUUUUUAAGAAAAUUUGCUAUAUUCGCUGAAAAUGAGCGACAACUGCAUAAACAAAUUGACCUCACUGUUCCAAUAAUUCUGCACAAAACUGUACUCAACAGGUCACAUAGCCAUUAUCCUUCAUGUCACCAGUAAACUAUAAAGCAAUUCCAUAUUUUAUCAAUAACUCUCUGUUCUGAAACCAUCUGGUUAUGGUGAAGUGGGAUGAUUGAGGGACUGCUGAGUGUAUAGCAUAUUGCUGCCUGGCAGGUGGAUACAUUAAUGUCGUCUCAAAAGGGGGAGUCAGCAGUAGCAGGCAAACGUUAGCUCGGUCCUCCUCAUCGACUGCUGACAAAAGGAGCCAUGUUGGGAAAACAUGCUGUCAUACAUGAUAUAGACACAGUGGGCCCUCGGAGACGAUAGCAAAACCCAUAUUGGGAGGACAGUGAGGGAUGACGCGUCCAUGCUGGCAUCAUGAAGUGUCACAGCCUGGGGUUGCACAGGAUGGUCCUUUUUGGUGGAGCUUUUAGCGGUCAUUGUGGAUUGUUAUUCAGAUAUAUAAUGUUUUGUAACUGGAAAAAAAAAAUACAAUUUUAUAAGCAAUUUCUUUGCCAGCAAGUGCUUUGUUUUCAAGUAUUUCCUGUAUUUAUUCAACAUACCAUGCACACUCACAGGCUUAGAGCUAAUCUGUCUGUCAUAGCCUAACU